AUUGAACGCUGGCGGCAUGCUUUACACAUGCAAGUCGAACGGCAGCACGGGUGCUUGCACCUGGUGGCGAGUGGCGGACGGGUGAGUAAUACAUCGGAACGUGUCCUGAAGUGGGGGAUAACGCAUCGAAAGAUGUGCCUAAUACCGCAUAUACUCUGAGGAGUAAAGUAGGGGAUCGAAAGACCCUUAUGCUUUUGGAGCGGCCGAUGUCUGAUUAGCUAGUUGGUGGGGUAAUUGCCCACCAAGGCGACCGAUCAGUAGUUGGUCUGAGAGGACGACCAGCCACACUGGGACUGAGACACGGCCCAGACUCCUAC
rnacentral:rRNA from 1 species